rnacentral:rRNA from 1 species
GCAAGUCGAGGGGUAACGAUAAAGUAGCUUGCUAUUUUAGGCGACGACCGGCGCACGGGUGAGUAACGCGUAUGCAACCUACCUUUAACUGGGGAAUAGCCCGGAGAAAUUCGGAUUAAUGCCCCAUAAUAUUUUUUCUACACCUGUAGAAAUCAUUAAAGCUCCGGCGGUUAAAGAUGGGCAUGCGUGACAUUAGAUAGUUGGUAAGGUAACGGCUUACCAAGUCUACGAUGUCUAGGGGGCCUGAGAGGGUAGUC